rnacentral:rRNA from 1 species
CCGACGGUGAGGGGUGAAAGCUGGGGGAGCAAACCGGAUUAGAUACCCGGGUAGUCCCAGCCGUAAACGAUGUGCGUUAGGUGUAUCGGUGACCACGAGUCACCGAGGUGCCGAAGAGAAAUCGUGAAACGUACCGCCUGGGAAGUACGGUCGCAAGGCUGAAACUUAAAGGAAUUGGCGGGGGAGCACCACAACAGGUGGAGCCUGCGGUUUAAUCGGACUCAACGCCGGGAAACUCACCAGAUAAGACAGCUGAAUGAUAGUCGGGCUGAAGACUCUACUUGACUAGCUGAGGGGAGGUGCAUGGCCGUCGUCAGUUCGUACUGUGAAGCAUCCUGUUAAGUCAGGCAACGAGCGAGACCCACGCCAACAGUUGCU